CUCACCUGCUGAUGUGGACACACAUACUCAGCAAGGGGUUGAAUUUAUGAGAAGAAGUGAGUGCGUGAGGAUUCCAUAAAAAAGUAUUACUAAUUUCAUAGUGAAAGUGGGGUGCAAAAAUGUGAAAGAGAGGCAUAGGGUUUGUAGCUUAAGGAAUCCAGUAUAAUAAAUAGUUAACAACAAUUGUAUUGGGGUAGAGAAUUUCUAAGCAAGUGUCUAUUUCUUACCCCUCUCAGUAUCUCUAUUCCCAUCUCCCUAUUUCUUUUAUCUUUUGUACCUUUCCUUAUUUUUUCAUUGCAAAUCUCUAUCUUGUAAUUGCCUGAGUUUAAUACAAUCAGUUGAUUCCUAUCUGUGGUUUGAGAUUCUAGUUUGUUUCACUAGUGGUUUCAUCCAGAGGUCUUUCAAUAGAGGAUCCAACCAUACUCAAGGUUUUUGUGGAAGAAUCGGUUUAAGGAAGCAAAUAUUUCAAUCUCUAAGGAACUAGAAGGAAUUUAUGGUAUGCUUCAGAAGGUUGUUUGUAACAAGACGACAAACCAGAUUCAUCCACCGAUGACACCUACCCUGCAUCAUAAGCCUGCAUAGGUGGAGUUUAGCAGGUUUUGUGGUGCGGAUUCAGAGAAUUUGAUAUUCCAAGUAGGGAACUAAUUUGUUUUUUAUAUCAUCGAAGAUGGACAAAAGCUGACUAUGGCAUCUUUCUACCUAGACGGUGAAGAUCUAAAGUGGUAUCAGUGGUUAUUUCAAAACAAAAAACUAAUGGGAUGGACACCCUUCACUAAAAAGGUUCAAAUUCAAUUCAAGGAGAAGGGACUCGACUCAACAGAGGGAAGGUUAGAAAAACUCUGAUAGAUGUGAUUUUAGGUGUCUCUUGGAUCUUAAUUUGGGAAGAAUGGUUAUUGGAGAUGGCCAAUGCCUAUUUGAGUUCAAUGACCCAGGGUCUACUAUUUGCUUGAAGGGGUUGGAACCCUCUAGUACUCAACCAAUACAUUUGCAUAGCCUUCAAUGAUGCUUGGCCACGGAUGCAAUUUUAUCUUAUCAUUGUCUGUGGGUAGUGUACCCUGCGCCUGUUACUAAUGAGCAUCUUGAUCAUACCCUCCUUUCACUACUGGGGUCAUUUACUGAGGUAUUCCAGAAACCACCAUGUCUACCACCAUCUAGACCACAAGACCACAAUAUAUUUUAUGGCCGGGGCAGAACCAGCUAAUGUUAAACCGUAAUGAUACCCUUAUUUUUAGAAGCAAAUAAUGGAGUAUUUAGAAAUAUAAAUGCUCUAAGAAUAAGUAAUUUUAGACGGUACAAGUCCGUUUUCUUUACCCGUAUUGUUGGUUUGAAAAAAAAGAUAGAACGUGGAGGUUUUAUGUGGAUUAUAAAGCCUUAAAUGCAAUCACCAAUUGGGAUAGGUUCCUAAUUCCCAUUAUUUAUGAGCUAUUUGAUGAACUAUUUGGUGUUGUGUACUUAUCUAAAGUUGAUUUGUUGUCUGGUUGUAAUCAAAUGCGAGUUAGAUUAGAUGAUGUGGCAAAGACAGUCUUUUGGACUCACAAUGGACAUUAUGAGUUUUUAGUGA